rnacentral:rRNA from 1 species
UACGUAGGGUGCGAGCGUUGUCCGGAAUUAUUGGGCGUAAAGAGCUCGUAGGCGGUCUGUCGCGUCGGCUGUGAAAACCCGAGGCUCAACCUCGGGCCUGCAGUCGAUACGGGCAAACUAGAGUACUGCAGGGGAGACUGGAAUUCCUGGUGUAGCGGUGAAAUGCGCAGAUAUCAGGAGGAACACCGGUGGCGAAGGCGGGUCUCUGGGCAGUAACUGACGCUGAGGAGCGAAAGCGUGGGGAGCGAACAGG